AGAGUUUGAUCCUGGCUCAGGAUGAACGCUGGCGGUCUGCUUAACACAUGCAAGUCGAACGCAAGUAGCAAUACUUGAGUGGCGGACGGGUGAGUAACGCGUGAGAAUCUGCCUUUUGGUCGGGGACAACCAUUGGAAACGAUGGCUAAUACCCGAUGUGCCUAUGGGUGAAAGAUUUAUUGCCAGAAGAGGAGCUCGCGUCUGAUUAGCUAGUUGGUAGGGUAAAAGCCUACCAAGGCAUCGAUCAGUAGCUGGUCUGAGAGGAUGACCAGCCACACUGGGACUGAGACACGGCCCAGACUCCUACGGGAGGCAGCAGUGGGGAAUUUUCCGCAAUGGGCGAAAGCCUGACGGAGCAAGACCGCGUGAGGGAGGAAGGCUCUUGGGUCGUAAACCUCUUUUGUCAGGGAAGAACACAAUGACGGUACCUGACGAAUCAGCCUCGGCUAACUCCGUGCCAGCAGCCGCGGUAAUACGGAGGAGGCAAGCGUUAUCCGGAAUUAUUGGGCGUAAAGCGUCCGCAGGUGGCACCUCAAGUCUGCUGUCAAAGACCGGGGCUUAACCCCAGAAAGGCAGUGGAAACUGAAGUGCUAGAGUGCAGUAGGGGUAGAGGGAAUUCCCGGUGUAGCGGUGAAAUGCGUAGAGAUCGGGAAGAACAUCGGUGGCGAAAGCCUCUGCUGGACUGCAACUGACACUCAGGGACGAAAGCUAGGGGAGCGAAUGGGAUUAGAUACCCUAGUAGUCC
rnacentral:rRNA from 1 species